UUGUCUCAAAGAUUAAGCCAUGCAUGUCUCAGUACAAGCCAAAUUAAGGUGAAACCGCGAAAGGCUCAUUAAAUCAGUUAUGGUUCCUUAGAUCGUACCCACAUUUACUUGGAUAACUGUGGUAAUUCUAGAGCUAACACAUGCAAACAGAGCUCCAACCGGAAACGGAAGGGGCGCUUUUAUUAGAUCAAAACCAAUCGGUGGCGGUUUCCGUCAUCGUACAACUUGGUGACUCUGAAUAACUUUACGCUGAUCGCACGGUCUCGCACCGGCGACGCAUCUUUCAAAUGUCUGCCUUAUCAACUGUCGAUGGUAGGUUCUGCGCCUACCAUGGUCGUAACGGGUAACGGGGAAUCAGGGUUCGAUUCCGGAGAGGGAGCCUGAGAAACGGCUACCACAUCCAAGGAAGGCAGCAGGCGCGCAAAUUACCCACUCCCGGCACGGGGAGGUAGUGACGAAAAAUAACGAUACGGGACUCAUCCGAGGCCCCGUAAUCGGAAUGAGUACACUCUAAACCCUUUAACGAGGAUCAAUUGGAGGGCAAGUCUGGUGCCAGCAGCCGCGGUAAUUCCAGCUCCAAUAGCGUAUAUUAAAGUUGUUGCGGUUAAAAAGCUCGUAGUCGAAUCUGUGUCCCACGCCGCCGGUUCAUCGUUCGCGGUGUUAACUGGCGUGUCGCGGGACGUCCUGCCGGUGGGCUUAGCUCGAGAGGGCGGCCCAACUCAAUCCCGCCGCGGUGCUCUUCAUUGAGUGUCGAGGUGGGCCGGCACGUUUACUUUGAACAAAUUAGAGUGCUUAAAGCAGGCUAAAACUUCGCCUGAAUACUGUGUGCAUGGAAUAAUGGAAUAGGACCUCGGUUCUAUUUUGUUGGUUUUCGGAACCCCGAGGUAAUGAUUAAUAGGAACGGAUGGGGGCAUUCGUAUUGCGACGUUAGAGGUGAAAUUCUUGGAUCGUCGCAAGACGGACAGAAGCGAAAGCAUUUGCCAAAAACGUUUUCAUUGAUCAAGAACGAAAGUUAGAGGUUCGAAGGCGAUCAGAUACCGCCCUAGUUCUAACCAUAAACGAUGCCAGCUAGCGAUCCGCCGACGUUCCUCCGAUGACUCGGCGGGCAGCUUCCGGGAAACCAAAGCUUUUGGGUUCCGGGGGAAGUAUGGUUGCAAAGCUGAAACUUAAAGGAAUUGACGGAAGGGCACCACCAGGAGUGGAGCCUGCGGCUUAAUU
rnacentral:rRNA from 1 species